rnacentral:lncRNA from 1 species
UCUGUGGUUCCUGCCGAGCCGGCUGCGGCGGCGAUAAGCGGAGACCCCGAGCUGCGGCGUCAGGGUUCCUGCUGAAACCCUGCCCCACCAUCUCCGGCCCCGUCAGUCAUUAAAGGUCUCACCUCUGCUGCUACCGUCACCAUCGGCCUUGGGCAGAUCAAGUAGAGGCAGUAACCGUGGUCUUCAAGAAAAUAUUCUCCCCCUGAGCGCUGAGAACAUCCAGCACCAAGAGGAGAGGAGAUGCCAAAGCGGGACUGAAAGAACUAAAGGCUCAGAUGGAGGAAUCUCUUCUGGGCCCUCCAAGAACAGCCUCUCAUUCCUCCUCCAAUGCCGUGGUUCUGGAGAUCCUUUCUUUUUCCACUGGAUAUCCCCAAGCCUGGGCCCAAAUCCUUCACCCACAACAGGACUGU